rnacentral:rRNA from 1 species
ACUGCUCAGUAACACGUCGGUAAUCUGCCCCACGGUCGGGGAUAACCUCGGGAAACUGAGGGUAAAACCCGAUAGGCGAUGCGUCCUGGAAUGGUGCUUCGCCCAAAUUCGUGCCGUAGGAUGAGCCGGCGGCGGAUUAGGCUGUUGGUGGGGUAACGGCCCACCAAACCGAAGAUCCGUACGGGCCAUGAGAGUGGUAGCCCGGAGAGGGACACUGAGAUACUGGUCCCAGCCCUACGGGGUGCAGCAGGCGCGAAACCUUUCCAAUGCACGAAAGUGUGAGAAGGGGAUACGCAGUGCUCACGGUUCUGCUGUGGGCUUUUGUCGAGUCUAGACCGCUCGGCGAAUAAGUGGUGGGUAAGACCGGUGCCAGCCGCCGCGGUAACACCGGCGCCACAAGUGGUCAUCGCGAUUAUUGGGCCUAAAGCGUUCGUAGCCGGUUUGGUAAAUCCCUUGUGAAAUCGUUCGGCCUAACCGAACGGCGCGCAGGGGACACUGCUAAGCUCGAGACCGGGAGGGGUCAGAGGUAUUCCAUGGGGACCGGUAAAAUGGGAUAAUCCAUGGAGGACCACCGAUGGCGAAGGCAUCUGACCAGAACGGUUCUGACGGUGAGGAACGAAAGCCAGGGGAGCGAACCGGAUUAGAUACCCGAGUAGUCCUGGCCGUAAACGCUGUGAGCUAGGUGUUGCGCAUCCCAUGAGGAUGCGCAGUGUCGAAACGAAAGUGAUAAGCUCACCGCCUGGGAAGUACGGUCGCAAAACUGAAACUUUAAGAAUUGGCGGGGGAGCAC